AUUGAACGCUGGCGGCAGGCUUAACACAUGCAAGUCGAGCGGAGAUGAGGUGCUUGCACCUUAUCUUAGCGGCGGACGGGUGAGUAAUGCUUAGGAAUCUGCCUAUUAGUGGGGGACAACAUUCCGAAAGGAAUGCUAAUACCGCAUACGUCCUACGGGAGAAAGCAGGGGAUCUUCGGACCUUGCGCUAAUAGAUGAGCCUAAGUCGGAUUAGCUAGUUGGUGGGGUAAAGGCCUACCAAGGCGACGAUCUGUAGCGGGUCUGAGAGGAUGGUCCGCCACACUGGGACUGAGACACGGCCCAGACUCCUACGGGAGGCAGCAGUGGGGAAUAUUGGACAAUGGGGGGAACCCUGAUCCAGCCAUGCCGCGUGUGUGAAGAAGGCCUUAUGGUUGUAAGGCACUUUAAGCGAGGAGGAGGCUACUGAGACUAAUACUCUUGGAUAGUGGACGUUACUCGCAGAAUAAGCACCGGCUAACUCUGUGCCAGCCGCCGCUGUAA
rnacentral:rRNA from 1 species